CACCGGCGGCCCGAGUGGUGGCCACUAUUAUUGGGUCUAAAGGGUCCGUAGCCGGUUUGAUCAGUCUUCCGGGAAAUCUGACAGCUCAACUGUUAGGCUUCCGGGGGAUACUGUCAGACUUGGGACCGGGAGAGGUAAGAGGUACUACAGGGGUAGGAGUGAAAUCUUGUAAUCCUUGUGGGACCACCAGUGGCGAAGGCGCCUUACCAGAACGGGUCCGACGGUGAGGGACGAAAGCUGGGGGCACGAACCGGAUUAGAUACCCGGGUAGUCCCAGCCGUAAACGAUGCUCGCUAGGUGUCUGGGACGGUGCGACCGUUUCAGGUGCCGCAGGGAAGCCGUGAAGCGAGCCACCUGGGAAGUACGGCCGCAAGGCUGAAACUUAAAGGAAUUGGCGGGGAGCACUACAACGGGUGGAGCCUGCGGUUU
rnacentral:rRNA from 1 species